rnacentral:tRNA from 1 species
GCGAGGAUGGCGGAACAGGCAGACGCACUGGAUUUAGGAUCCAGCCCCGUAUAGGGAUGGGGGUUCAACUCCCCCUCCUCGCA